CGCCGCGCGCCGCGCUCUACUUCCGGGGCGGCGCUCUGGCAACCGAAGACGCGGCCGCUGGCGCCGCGACUGCUUCCGGGGUCACAUUUUCCCGGCCGCUCCCUAGGCCCCCCGCCCGCCGCGCCCUCGGCGGAGAUCCUAGAAGAGCCGGCCCUCCAUCCCCGGGAACCUCGCAGCCUUCAGGACCCAGGAAUGAGCCGGAAAGAAGAAAAGCAGAAUUUUAUGUCCCUGCUCUGAUACAUUCUAGCUGUUUGGGCACAGGCACCUCCGAUCCUCUCCAUUACAAUUUCUCCCCAGAGAAAUCUCCGUCUCUUAGGGGUGGAAGAGAUUUUAAAUUCCUGGUGCAUGGCACCUAGGAAGUCGCAUCACUUGGCUUCCCACAUCCUCCUGUCUUAUGCAGCAUACGUGCCAUUCCAGAUGCAUCACCAGCAGCCAAAUACUAGAAGGCUUGGCGACAGCCAAUGGAAGGAGACCAACAUCACAGGGAAGAGCGAAUAGUAUAUUAAAAAAAAAAAAAAAAAAA